AAGACAGCACACAACCCCAGCUCUGACAGCCACAGCCAAGCCAGUUCCCCAGGACCUACACUCAGUAUUUCAGCAUCAAGUUGCCACAGCUUUGAACUAUGUCUCUGAGCAUCUCCACUUUAUCUGAUUUAUUCUGUGCGCCUGUUAGCAAGAUGCAUCCUAAGAACCCUGACUAAUACACAUUUUGGUACCAAGAGGUGGGGUGCUGCUAUAACAAAUACCUAAAAAUGCAGAUAGAGGCUGGAGGAGUUUUGAGAUACACACGAGAGAAAGCCUAGAUCACCUGGAAGAAACUGUUGGCAGGAAUAUGAAUGGUAAAAGGGAUUCUGAUGAAGUCUCAGAAAUGAGGAACAUGCUGUUGGAAAUUGGAGGAAAGCUGGUCCUUGUUACAAAGUAUCAAGGAACUUGGUGUGAUUGUGUUUUACUGUUUUGUGGAAAGUAGAAUUUGUGACAAAAUAAGUUAUUUAGCUGAGGAGAUUUUGCUUGUUCUUUUGUUUUUAAAGUCUUUAUUGAAUUUAUUA